CAAAAGUAAAUGUCAAAAUUUCUAGUCAAAUCUGUAAAACGAAACUGUGCUCAGAACGAUAAAACCAAUGCAAAACAAGGUAUUGAAGUUCCUUGCUUCAUUCCCAGCCAGCAGCAGCAGCAGGUGGUGCAAACUGAGGUGGGGGAGCAGCAGCAGCAGGUGGUGCAAACUGAGGUGGGGGAGCAGCUGCAUCCCAUUCUGCAGAGACUCCACCUGAAGCUGAAUCAUAAGUAAAAUGAAGAUCAGUGGAACAAACAAACAAAAAUAUGGCGCCAGCUGCUCAAUGGCAUCUUUGAAAUUGUAAAUACCGCAAACACAUUUUCCCAAUAGGAUAAUAGUGCAAAAUAAUAACUGAACAGAUAGUUCAUGGAUUGCUUAGGUUGCACAAGGUCAGAGGCAUGAUCAAUUAAG
rnacentral:lncRNA from 1 species